rnacentral:misc_RNA from 1 species
CAACGGUUCACGUGCUCGAUGGACUACAAACUCUGAGAAGCACGUGUAUGGCAAGCAUGGAUGCUAAAGAGAAUAGCUCAACGGAUGCUGUAAAAAGUACCAUGAAAGCCAGCCUGGAGGAGGGAGUCGUCCAGUCAAGUCUAGCGUCCACCGUGACUCUGCCAGCCCAGACCAUUCCAAACCCGGAGAAAAGCCAAGACCAGAACGUCAGAGAAACAUGGGACAAAAAAAUAGAAUUUCUACUAGCCGUGAUCGGGUUCGCUGUGGACCUGGGAAAUGUUUGGCGGUUCCCUUACAUAUGUUAUCGAAAUGGUGGAGGAGCGUUUUUAAUACCAUAUGUAAUCAUGUUAGUAUUUGGAGGACUUCCCCUAUUUUACCUGGAGUUAGCUCUGGGUCAGUACUACCGCAGUGGUUGCAUAACAAUCUGGAGCAAGUUGUGUCCGAUCAUGAAAGGGAUAGGCUACGCCAUCUGUGUUAUUGACCUAUAUAUGGCCAUGUAUUACAAUACCAUUAUCUGCUGGGCCGUUUACUAUCUGUUCUCGUCCUUCACAUCCGAGCUGCCAUGGACCAAGUGUGACAAUUCCUGGAACACAAACAACUGUCAAACCCUUGCGGAGAGGGCAGUCAACGUAUCCAACAUGUCGACAAGUCCAGCUCAGGAAUUCUUUGAACGCAACGUGCUACAGAUACAAAACGCGAAAGGAGUUGACUAUAUUGGACCAGUAAAAUGGUCUCUUGCACUGUGCCUAAUGGCUGUCUUCGUUUUAGUAUAUUUCUCAUUAUGGAAAGGCGUUAAAAGUUCUGGAAAGGCCGUCUGGUUUACUGCUACUAUGCCAUAUGUUGUCUUGUUUAUCCUGUUCUUUCGUGGUAUAACACUAGAUGGCGCUCUGGAUGGCAUCGUGUUUUAUCUUUCACCACAAUGGGACAAAUUGGCAAAAGCCGAGGUGUGGAUUGAUGCAGCGACUCAAAUCUUCUUUUCUCUUGGUCCAGGUUUUGGUACCCUACUUGCUCUGUCAAGUUAUAAUACUUUUCAUAAUAACUGUUACAGGGAUGCUAUAUUUACCAGCAGUAUCAACUGUGUUACAAGCUUCCUAGCUGGGUUUGUUAUUUUCUCAGUUUUAGGCUAUAUGGCCCACAUGUCGCAGAGAGACAUCCAGACCGUCGCUACUGAUGGGCCAGGCCUUGUAUUUGUGGUAUAUCCGGAAGCAAUAGCAACUAUGAAAGGUUCCGUGUUUUGGUCAAUCCUGUUCUUCAUCAUGUUAAUAACGUUGGGUCUAGACAGCACGUUUGGCGGUCUAGAAGCCAUGAUAACAGGACUGUGCGAUGAAUAUCCCACUGUACUACGUCGACAUCGAGAAAUAUUCGUUGGAGUUUUGAUUCUAUUUAUUUAUCUGUGUGCUCUACCAACUACAACAUACGGUGGUAGCUAUGUAGUAAACUUACUGGACUCCUACGGUACAUCGAUGUCCGUUUUGUUUGUCGUCUUUGUGGAGGCAGCCACAGUUUGCUGGUUUUAUGGAGCCCAGCGGUUUUCGGAACAAGUACAGAAAAUGCUGGGAUUUAGACCUGGGAUCUUUUGGAGGCUCUGCUGGACCUAUGUCAGCCCAAUUUUUAUACUCGGCAUCUUCCUGUUCGCUAUGAUUCAUUAUAAGGACUUAGAAUGGGAGGAUUACCAAUAUCCAAAGUGGUCCAUAACUGUUGGUUGGCUGUUAACAGUUUCGUCCUUGUCAUGUAUCCCGAUAUAUAUGAUAUAUCGCAUCAUAAUUACACCUGGAACCUUCACCCAGAGAGUGAUUGAUGCUUUCCAACCCGAGAAGCCCGGAGUAAAUCAAGAACAUGAGAGUCUACCAAUCAACGCCUGUUACACAAGUGUAUGAAGAAGCUACAUGGACUUCAUGUUGCUGUAUAAAAACUAGUGCUCUGCUACUUAGCCUACUCUGUCCUUGAAGUCAGGUACAAUUUAUGUCGGUGAAAUAUGCAUACAUUUCAUUUAUUUGUGUUUGUUAGGCUUAACCCGAUCAUGGAUAUAAAACUUUGAGUUGUUUUCUGUUUUCACAUACCAUGCCAUGUUGAACUAUACAACAGCUUUAAAUGCAGGUCGUUAUAUCAAAUGUUCAUUAGUUUAAUAAUAAAGUUGACAAUAUAUUGUGUAAAAUGUGUCACACCACACUGAUAUUAAUUUGCUUAAAGAACGUUUCGAAUUUUCUAAAUAUGCGAAGAACUUCUAUUCUUGGUCAUUUUUGUUUUUAUGCUUUUGAUACUUUAUGAUAAACGUACAAUAAAUGUUGGUUUCUUUUAUUAUUGUAUGAUAUACAUUGUUAAAAUCUAAGAGGUGGUAAAACAUUGUCAAAUUAAGUAGGUGUAUCAUUCCCAGUUAUCAUUACAAUUGUUAGUUUAGGAAAGUGCGUUACUUCCGGUUUUUUACCUCUGUUGUUUGAUGAAACAGGGUCAUCACAUCCGGAUUCUCACUACUACUAUUAGUUUAGGAAAGUAGAUUACUUCUGAUUUUCACUAUUGUUGUUGAAUUAGGUAGGUAUGUCGCUUCUAGUUUAUCAUCACUGUUGUUCCACUAGAUAGGUGCAUCACUUCCGAUUUAUCACCACUGUUGUUGGAUUAGAUAGGUGCAUCACUUCCGGUAUAUCACCACUGUUGCUGGAUUAGGUAGUGUGCCACUUUCGAUAUAUCACAACUGUUGUUGGAUUAGAUAGGUUUAUCAACACUGUUCUGGAUUAGGCAGUGUGCCACUUUCGAUAUAUCACCACUGUUGUUUGAUGAAGCGUUUGUUAUACCCGUUGUUUUCCCAUUACUGUUUAAAUGAGAGAGGCGUGUCACUCGGAAAACGCUAUUGCCAAUGGUGUGACUACAAAAAGGUGCCCCCCCCCCGUAUAAAAAUUAAUUUACAUUUAUUCCCCUUGUCGGCAAUUCUUAAGUUUUUCAGGCCCCUUUUGGCUCGAAUCUUCCUGCAAUUGCAGGGGCAUACUUACGCUGCUGGCUGUUGCUGUUGCGAAUUGAGAGUAUAAGUCAUUUUCGAUAUUAUCUUCAAUUUAAGCAAACAUUUUACUUCCGGUAACUUGCAUAUAAAUGUCACUUUCGUUGUGUGUUUAGAGAAAGUACAAAUGUCGUUCUUGGUUCAUGAGAGAUGAUACAAGAUGCCUCUUCUCUAUCACUGCUAUUGGGAUUAGGUGGGACAUUUCUUUCCUUUCCAGAGUUAAUAGGUUAAACAGAUGCAUCAUUUCUGGUGGAAAUCAUAUUUUGUAAAAUGUGCAAAUUAUGUCACUUUUGUCUUUAAUAGAAGUCUAACAUACGCAUGCCCUCUAGUAAGUAGAUGUAAUUGAAUCGUUAUCAAGAGAUCGUAUGCAGUAAUGAAGUUCAACAGUGGUAACACUAUAGUCAACAAUCAGGUCACAUGGUGGUAAUCAAGUUAAUCCCACUCUAGUAAGUAGUUAUAAUCGAAUCGUUAUCUCGCUGUAAUAUGCAGCAAUGAAGUUCAACAGUGGUAAAACUAUAGUCAACAAUCAGGUCACAUGGUGGUAAUCAAGUUAAUCACACUCUAGUAAGUAGUUAUAAUCGAAUCGUUAUCUCGCUGUAAUAUGCAGCAAUGAAGUUCAACAGUGGUAAAACUAUAGUCAACAAUCAGGUCACAUGGUGGUAAUCAAGUUAAUCACACUCUAGUAAGUAGUUAUAAUCGAAUCGUUAUCUCGCGGUAAUAUGCAGUAAUGAAGUUCAACAGUGGUAACACUAUAGUCAACAAUCAGGUCACAUGGUGGUAAUCAAGUUAAUCACGCUGGUGAGUGAUCACAUAUCAGUUUACAACACAGUAUUAAGUUACUUAAUGGUCAUAAUGUCGUUCCUUAAGUAAAUAUUGCAGGUAACUGUAUCUCUGUAGCUAUGAGCUGCGAAAGUAGUAAACGAUUUGGAUUGAGAGUGUUUUGUUGUCAACAAUGUUUAAAUGUAUCAGUAAAAUUAAGUAUUUAAAACAAAUUAUUCAGUAAUGUUGCACAAUACAGGAAUUGUAUCACAGUUUUGAUUGUUUAUCUUUAUAAUAUUUACAUUUAAUAACUUUUGUAUGUCUUGAAGACAAACGUUUUCGUUUUUUACCAUGUAAUACGAUAAUUAGGAUAAUAUUCUUAUAACUAUGUUCUGGAGACAGAUGUUCUCAUUAUGAUAUUUACCAUACUCUACGAUAUCUACCAUAUUAUUUUAACAACUUUGUUCUGGAAAUAGAUGUUAUGUUGUCAUUAUAACAUUUACAAUGUUUUUCGUAUCUAGCAUACUAUUUAAUAACUUUUGUUUUGGAGACAGAUAUCGUCAUUAUAACAUUUACCAUGUUUUUGGUAUCUAGCAUACUAUUUAAUAACUUUUGUUUUGGAGACAGAUGUCGUCAUUAUAACAUUUACCAUGUUUUUUGGUAUUUAGCGUAAUAUUGUAAUAACUUUUGUUUUGGAGACAGAUGUCGUCAUUAUAACAUUUACCAUGUUUUUUGGUAUUUAGCGUAAUAUUGUAAUAACUUUUGUUUUGGAUACAGAUGUCGUCAUUAUAACAUUUACAAUGUUUUUCGUAUCUAGCAUACUAUUUAAUAACUUUUGUUUUGGAGACAGAUGUCGUCAUUAAAACAUUUACCAUGUUUUUUGGUAUUUAGCGUAAUAUUGUAAUAACUUGUUUUGGAGACAGAUGUCGUCAUUAUAACAUUUACCAUGUUUUAUGGUAUUUAGCGUAAUAUUGUAAUAACUUUCGUACGUUCUAGAGACUAAUGUCUCUGUUUAUUAUGCCCUACAAUAUUUAGUACAGCACGGAAGAAGCUAUUGGACGCACCCUAGACAAACCUUCUAAAACUAAUUAUGUUGUAUAAUGGAACAAAAAAUGUUUUCUUAUUACAAGUUUAUUUAAGUUAAUUAUACAAACUGUAACAAGAACAGUAAGUGAGGGUGAAUUGUUUUUGUCAACUGUUUCAAACCAGUUGGAUUGUAUAUCCACUUGUUUAAUUAUAUCUUAAGUCCAAACAGAUGUGUUAGAAGUUUAUUUUGUAUUUAAUACAAUACGUUAUUUC